rnacentral:rRNA from 1 species
GUGUCAGCAGCCGCGGUAAUACGUAGGAGGCGAGCGUUGUCCGGAUUUAUUGGGCGUAAAGAGCGCGCAGGCGGCACAUCAAGUACGCAGUGAAAUCUCCCUGCUCAACGGGGAGAGUGCAGCGUAAACUGGUGAGCUAGAGGACGGUAGAGGGGGGUAGAAUUGCUGGUGUAGCGGUGAAAUGCGUAGAGAUCAGCAGGAAUACCCGUGGCGAAGGCGGCCCCCUGGGCCGAACCUGACGCUGAGGCGCGAAGGCUAGGGGAGCGAACGGGAUUAGAAACCCCUGUAGUCC